GACGAACGCUGGCGGCGUGCUUAACACAUGCAAGUCGAACGGAAAGGCCCUGCUUUUGUGGGGUGCUCGAGUGGCGAACGGGUGAGUAACACGUGAGUAACCUGCCCUUGACUUUGGGAUAACUUCAGGAAACUGGGGCUAAUACCGGAUAGGAGCUCCUGCUGCACGGUGGGGGUUGGAAAGUUUCGGCGGUUGGGGAUGGACUCGCGGCUUAUCAGCUUGUUGGUGGGGUAGUGGCUUACCAAGGCUUUGACGGGUAGCCGGCCUGAGAGGGUGACCGGCCACAUUGGGACUGAGAUACGGGCCAGACUCCUACGGGAGGCAGCAGUGGGGAAUAUUGCACAAUGGGCGGAAGCCUGAUGCAGCAACGCCGCGUGCGGGAUGACGGCCUUCGGGUUGUAAACCGCUUUCGCCUGUGACGAAGCGUGAGUGACGGUAAUGGGUAAAGAAGCACCGGCUAACUACGUG
rnacentral:rRNA from 1 species